GGGCUUUUAACUCAGUUGGUUAGAGUCCCCCGCUCAUAACGGGGUUGUCGCAGGUUCGAGCCCUGCAAAGCCCACCA
rnacentral:tRNA from 1 species